UUUAUAAUCAGACCAUUAAGUAGCUGAAUUGGAUCAAUGUUCUUGUACACUGCAUCAUUUGCAUCAAUCAUGGUGGAUUUAGUACAAAUAUAGAGUCCAAAAAGAGGCAAAAAAAAUACAGGGGAUCUGCAUGUGACAUCCCCAAUUUUAAUAUAGUAUAAGGGUGCCAGAUACCAAGACAGAAUACAAGUGCAUUAAA
rnacentral:lncRNA from 1 species